AAGUCUUCCUAUUGCUAAUUUCACUAUUUUGUUUGGUUGUUCCUCUCUGUGGUCUGGCUGCUCUCUCUCUCUUUGUGCGGUCUCUUCCACUAUUUCAGCGUUCAAGCCUGGGACUUGGUCACGGCUACAUCAUACUCCUCGGCCAUACUCCUAAUCUAUUCCAUUACAGUUCCCUGUUGAAUGCAUAUUCCGAAAAUUCUUAUUAUGAAAAGGUUGAGAUGUUGAUGAAAGAUUUGAGAUCCUCUGGUUUAACACCAAACAAGGUAUACUUUCUCUGCUUGUUUUUUUUUGUUGAGAUCCUCUGAUUUGCUCUCUCAGUUUAAAUUUUUAAGUUUCCUUUUCUUUAAGUGUUGAGUUCUUUUCUCAAUAUACAUGCACAUCCCUAUGAUAAGUUAGAAAAUUGUUAGCAUGGAUAUUGAGAAAACCUAGGUAAUGUGUCACAGGGAGUAGCUGCUUCUUUUUUGUGGCUAGACAUAUUCAUAAUUUUAUACGUCCAGCUGGUGUUGUUAAGAUCUUCAGAUAGCAGCUUCCUCUUGUACUUUUUUUUUAAAAAAAAAACUUCCUCUUGAACUGAAUCUAGCUCUUCAGUGGUUCGCCCCCCUACUUGUAUUUGGCAUGGUCCCCGGUGUAUUGAUGGAACAUGGUGUCCAAGUGCUCCUGCGCCAAUUUGGGUCCUACUCCCCGGAGUAGGUGAGAAGGAAGAGCCACUGCUCGGAGCCAUUGGGUAUUCAUUUGUGGGUUUUAACACCUGUUGUAGUAGGAUGAAGACUGUCAAGACUUGCGUUAAUCCCUUUUGCUUUUACAAUGAAAAGACAGAGUAAGUAUCAUCUUCUUAUGGUAAAUAUUAUUCGCCUUUUCUCUAUCAUCAUUUUUCUAGGAUUUGGGAAAUUUUCUUUUGAGAUCCCGCAUAAAACUCUAAAUAUGUCAAUUUUCUAUUUGGCAUGUCUGAUGAUUAAAAUGACCAA